GACCCUUUCGUCUAGUGGCUCAGGACUCUACUUUCUCAAUGUAGAAACAGAGGUUCAAAUCCUCUAAGGGUCGCCA
rnacentral:tRNA from 3 species